rnacentral:misc_RNA from 1 species
GUGAAUCAUCGAAUUUUUGAACGCAAAUUGCACUCUCUUCGGAGAGUAUGACUGUUUGAGGGUCAGCCUAAAAAAAAAGACAUAGUUGAUGUUACGCGGUAACAUUUGUUGGAAAUUGGGUUAUCUUAAACCUUUGGGUUUAAGAGGCUUAAAAUUUUCUUUAAGGUUCCAUGAAAGUUUCUAAGAUUUUAUUUUCUUAUACGUUUAAGGUUUAUUGCUCUUUUAUUAGACGUGAACGUUGCAUGGG